UGGGGAAUAUUGCACAAUGGGCGCAAGCCAGAUGCAGCCAUGCCGCGUGUGUGAAGAAGGCCUUCGGGUUGUAAAGCACUAUCAGCGGGGAGGAAGGCGUUAAGGUUAAUAACCUUGGCGAUUGACGUUACCCGCAGAAGAAGCACCGGCUAACUCCGUGCCAGCAGCCGCGGUAAUACGGAGGGUGCAAGCGUUAAUCGGAAUUACUGGGCGUAAAGCGCACGCAGGCGGUCUGUCAAGUCGGAUGUGAAAUCCCCGGGCUCAACCUGGGAACUGCAUUCGAAACUGGCAGGCUAGAGUCUUGUAGAGGGGGGUAGAAUUCCAGGUGUAGCGGUGAAAUGCGUAGAGAUCUGGAGGAAUACCGGUGGCGAAGGCGGCCCCCUGGACAAAGACUGACGCUCAGGUGCGAAAGCGUGGGGAGCAAACAGG
rnacentral:rRNA from 1 species